GACCGGAUAGCUCAAAUGGUAGAGUAAGUAAGUCUUCGGAAGGUUCUGGGUUCGAAUCCCAGUCCGAGCU
rnacentral:tRNA from 1 species